rnacentral:misc_RNA from 1 species
CGGAAUUAGAACUCUGUAGGAAUGAUACGGCUGCGCUCCAUUUCAAAUUAGUCGCCAUCGCCUCGAUUCUAACAUCGGGAGUCAUCGGAAUCGCCAUUCCGUUGUUUGGUAGACAGAGUCGGUUCCUCAAAACAGACGGCAACCUGUUUGUGGCGGCGAAGGCGUUUGCCGCCGGUGUGAUUCUAGCCACCGCCUUCGUCCAUAUGCUUCCGGAUGGAUCGAAGGCCCUCUCCGAUCCGUGCUUGCCGGAAUUUCCUUGGUCUAAAUUCCCCUUCUCUGGAUUCUUCGCGAUGAUGG